rnacentral:rRNA from 1 species
UGAGGAAUAUUGGUCAAUGGGCGAAAGCCUGAACCAGCAAUGCCGCGUGUGGGAUGAAGGGGCUCUGCCUCGUAAACCACUGUCGGACGGGACGAAAAGGGGUAUAAACCCCUGGGACGGUACCGUCAAAGGAAGGGUCGGCUAACUACGUGC